AUGACAUUUUUCUUUUAAAUUUUGAUAUUAUUUUAUUCUUUUUUUCCUUUUUCUUUUUUUCUUUUUAGUUAUCUCUUUUCCUUUUCCUUUUCUUUUUCUUCUUCGAACCCUGGCCGCCACCGGUUGGAGAGUUCCACCACCGUGCUCCGACGGGCACAAAACCACCACCACACAAUAGGUUUCCACACCCUCUAUCCAUCAUUUGGUUUAGAUUUUCCCAAAAAGCAACCAAAACCUACAAAACCCCAAGCAAAGGUUUGACGUUAAAAACCUCGAUUGCCGGCGUCCACCGUUGGAUCGCCACAAGCCCCAAAAGAUAAUUAGUGUUUGAUGUUUGCCGGUGUAUGUGGGGUGAGGAUUGCUCGCGAUUUGGGUUUUUAGUUCUUCUCAAGUCGGUCGUGCUUUGAUUCUCCGAGCCUUAUUUUACUUUCUAGAAAAUUUGCUUCUUAAUGGAGGAUUGCUCGCAAGGCUAUGAAUUUUAAUGAAAUCGGAGAUAGUGAGCACUCAAUUCCAAGUGCUUAUAGGACCAUCACCACCGCCCUUAACGUUUUGCGAUUUAAUUUGAUGUAUGUUUUCGGCGAAGUGAAGGAAUUAAUGGAGUUGGUAGAGAAGCAAGCACGGAAGGCAAGAAUCGAAAACGACCCCAACAAUGAACAAGCCAUGAGACGAGCUCUUUGGGUUUUGGACUAAAAUGAGAAUUUAUUACAUAAUUUUUGUAGGGUUAUAUAUACCUCAUUUAAAUUAAUUUAAAAGUUCGAGGACUAAAA